CUUCCCUCCCUCUUGACCUUCCUCUCUCCCUCCCUUCUUUCCUUCCUUCCUGUGGCUCUCCUUUGUGAGUGACCUACCUCCGCUUCCUACUCUGUGACUUUGCACAUUCAAUCAUUGCCUGGCUCCACCAGCAGUAUAUAAGGUGAAAGAGGAUCCUGCCAGCUGUUCUAGGCCCAGAGGACACCUCUCUCUCUCUCUCUGUCACUCACACACACACACACACACACACACACUCUCUCUCUCUCUCUCACACACACCCACUUAUUGAUGGGGUAAUAGGAUCAAGAGGUAGCUUUGCAUCAUCAAAAAGAAGUCAGUCAUUCUAGCCUGGAGCUUUAGAAGACGAAGUAAAAAAGAAGUCAGACAGUCCUAGCUUUGAAUCCUGGCCCAGCCACUUACUAGGUGGGAGACCUUGGACUCUGGUGCUUCCCCGAGUGGCCCCCUGUGGUGUGGCAUGUCCGCUUCUCUUGGCAUCUGUGAGUAUAACUAUCUUUUUGAUAACAGUCAUCUAGUCUGCUGGCCUUGCUGUACCUAAAUAAUAAUAAUAAAACCAUUAACUACAUUUUAAAACAAGAAACCCUAUGCUCCAGAGGGGUUCCUUCUGCUUCCCAAACAGGUCCCUGCUUUCCUAUGCCCAUGUCUUUUCCUGUGCCUUUCCUCGUUCCCAGAAUAAACUUUCUCUGCCACAUCUGCAUCUUACAAUUCUAUCCAUCUUUCAAUAUAUUCUUGCUGGCAUUGUCUUGAAUCUCUGGUGACAAUAUAGACUUAAAGAUGAGAGUGUGAGGUUCAGAUUGGUUUGUGACUUAUACUAUAUCACACAGCAAGUUGAAGGCGGCAUCAGGCUCGAAGCCCAGCAGGCUUUCUUUGUGCCCCUUCCAAUCAUUCUAUUGGCUUAGGUCAACUGAGUGUGUGCAACAGAAAUGGAUCUUAGUUAACUUGAGAACAAAAGGGAUUUUCCAGAAAGAUGCUGGGGCAGCUCAAAG
rnacentral:lncRNA from 1 species